rnacentral:rRNA from 1 species
UACAGGGGGGGCAAGCGUUGUUCGGAAUUACUGGGCGUAAAGGGUUCGUAGGUGGCCAACUAAGUCAGACGUGAAAUCCCUCAGCUUAACUGGGGAACUGCGUUUGAUACUGGAUGGCUUGAGUGUAGGAGAGGAAUGCGGAAUUCCAGGUGUAGCGGUGAAAUGCGUAGAUAUCUGGAGGAACACCGGUGGCGAAGGCGGCAUUCUGGACUACAACUGACACUGAGGAACGAAAGCCAGGGGAGCAAACGGG